rnacentral:rRNA from 1 species
GACGAACGCUGGCGGCGUGCUUAACACAUGCAAGUCGAGCGGUAAGGCCCUUUCGGGGUACGACGAGCGGCGAACGGGUGAGUAACACGUGGGUGACCUGCCCUCAGCUCUGGGAUAAGCCUGGGAAACCGGGUCUAAUACUGGAUAUGACUCCAUGACGCAUGUUGUGGGGUGGAAAGCCUCGUGCGGCUGAGGAUGGGCCCGCGGCCUAUCAGCUUGUUGGUGGGGUGAUGGCCUACCAAGGCGACGACGGUAGCCGGCCUGAGAGGGCGACCGGCCACACUGGGACUGAGACACGGCCCAGACUCCUACGGGAGGCAGCAGUGGGGAAUCUUGCGCAAGUGGGCGAAAGCCUGACGCAGCGACGCCGCGUGAGGGAUGAC